GCGUAUUUUUUUGUCAAUUCUGAUCAGGUGGUCACAGUAGGAACAGCCAUGUUUGGGACACACAUACCAGACAAUUAAAGACUUAAUUUCCUUUUAACAAGAUUGAACAACCAUGGAUCUUCAUUCUAAUGCCCAGGAUAUACCCCGAUGUGACCUUUGUGAGACUGCCACAGUACACAGCUACUGUGACGUUUGUCAUGUCAACCUCUGCACGCCAUGUAUAGGCAAACACAUCUCAGAUGGAUAUGACAAACAUGUAAUAGUUCCAUUCCAGGAACGAAGAUCAACCCUCAUCUUUCCUAAAUGUGAAACACAUACACACAAAACUUGUAAAUUUCAGUGCAAGGAUUGCAACAACAUUUUUGUUUGUUCUUCCUGCAUGGCUUCUGAACAACAUGGAAGACAUAAAUUUGUAGAAGUUGCAGACGUUUUCAAGACAAAGCAAGAUGAUAUAAAAAAAGAUACGAAAAAGUUAGAAAAAUUAUACUAAAUACAUCACAGAGAACAGAAACCAUGACAUCUGUGUAGCUGACUGGGCGGCUGGUGCAGUAGUGGUGGUUAAUCAGGACGGGAAACUCAGAUGGAGAUACACUGGCAAACCCUCAGUUACCAAGAACAAAGCAUUUAAACCCUAUGGUAUCACAGCAGACAGCCAGAGUCAUAUCCUGACAGCAGACAGUGCCAACAAUUGUAUCCACAUUCUUGAUCAGAAUGGACAGUUUCUCCGUUACAUUGAUAACUGUAAUCUGAAGAAUCCUAAUGGUUUAUAUGUGGACAAUAAUGACAAUCUGUUUGUAUGUGAGUUUUACAAAGGCAAUGUAAAGAAAAUCAAAUACCUAAAGUAGACAUCAUCAAUUGUAAAAAAAAAAUGUGAUGUAAAUCAAACAAAAGUGGCCCUUUUCUGUGUCUAUUGAAUUUCAAUGUUGGCAUUUACCAUAAAAUAGGUUAAAACUUU
rnacentral:sRNA from 1 species